GCAAACCACAAGGGGAGCGUAAUGCUGAGAGUGAUCAAUCGAUCUGACCCUUCGAACCUGUUAGUUAAUUCUAACGUAGGAAUGUGGGAAGAGUUUAUA
rnacentral:ncRNA from 2 species